GUUUAUAGUUUUAACCUUUCGGUCAUUAAACAUUCUAGAUGACAAUAGGGUUUAUAAUAGGGAUUCGCGUUUGACCGCAGAUUCCCUCAAAGGUGCACAGGUGUUGAAUAAAGGAUUAAGGCAGCGUGCACACCACGAAUGGCAGCACAGCAAACCAAUUUCAUUAAUGAUCCUUCCGCAGGUUCACCUACGGAAA
rnacentral:misc_RNA from 1 species